rnacentral:rRNA from 1 species
UACAGAGGCCCCAAGCGUUACUGAGAAUCACUGGGUUUAAAGGGUGCGUAGGUGGUCCGUUAAGUUCGUUGUGAAAGCCCUGGGCUCGACCCAGGAACUGCUUCGAAUACUGGCGGACUUGAGGCUAGUAGAGGUCACUGGAACUGACGGUGGAGCGGUGAAAUGCGUAGAUAUCGUCAGGAACGCCAAUGGUGAAGACAGGUGACUGGGCUAGUUCUGACACUGAGGCACGAAAGCGUGGGGAUCAAACGGG